AUUGAACGCUGGCGGCAUGCUUUACACAUGCAAGUCGAACGGCAGCGCGGGCUUCGGCCUGGCGGCGAGUGGCGAACGGGUGAGUAAUACAUCGGAACGUGCCCAGUAGUGGGGGAUAGCUCGGCGAAAGCCGGAUUAAUACCGCAUACGGCCUGAGGGUGAAAGCGGGGGAUCUUCGGACCUCGCGCUAUUGGAGCGGCCGAUGGCAGAUUAGCUAGUUGGUGGGGUAAAGGGCUACCAAGGCGACGAUCUGUAGCUGGUCUGAGAGGACGACCAGCCACACUGGGACUGAGACACGGCCCAGACUCCUACGGGAGGCAGCAGUGGGGAAUUUUGGACAAUGGGCGAAAGCCUGAUCCAGCAAUGCCGCGUGUGUGAUGAAGGCCUUCGGGUUGUAAAGCACCUUUGGCGGGAACGAAAAGGACUGUGCCAAUACCACGGUUCGAUGACGGUACCCGCAGAAUAAGCACCGGCUAACUACGUG
rnacentral:rRNA from 1 species